AGAGCUGUAGCUCAGUGGCACAGCACAUGCUUCUCGUGCAGGAGGCCCCAGAUUCAAUCCCUGGCAUCUUCA